rnacentral:rRNA from 1 species
UGGAAGCAGCCAUUCAUUUAAAGAGUGCGUAACAGCUCACUAGUCGAGCGGUUGAGCGUGGAUAAUAAUCGGGCAUAAGCAUAUUACCGAAGCUAUGGAAUCAAUAUUUAGGUAUUGAAUUGGUAGGGGAGCAUUCCAAUAGACGCAGAAGGAUAUAUGUGAGUAUAUCUGGAGUAAUUGGAAAAGCAAAUGUAGGCAUGAGUAACGAUAAUGCGGGUGAGAAACCUGCACACCGAUAGACUAAGGCUUCCGCGGCAAUGCUAAUCAACCGCGGGUUAGUCGGGGCCUAAGGCGUACCCAAAAGGGGAAGUCGAUGGAUAAUCGGUUAAUAUUCCGAUACCUUCUGUUACUGCGAAGGGGAGACGAAGAAGUGACAAGUCCGCGUACUGACGGAAUAGUACGUUAAAGGGAGUAGGCACAGGGAUGGUUAAUAGCCGUUCUUGCCGAACCUGACAGUACCGUGCGCCUUCGGGCAAGCGGAUAGUGACUGUAAGCAGACUUCCGAGAAAAUCCUCUAAGCUCUAGGUAACAGGAGCCCGUACCGCAAACCGACACAGGUAGUCAAGGAGAGAAUCCUGAGGUGCUCGAGUGAGUCGUGGCUAAGGAACUAGGCAAAAUAACCCCGUAACUUCGGGAAAAGGGGAACCCAACGCAAGUUGGGUCGCAGAGAAAUGGUCCAGGCGACUGUUUAACAAAAACACAUGGCUUUGCAAAAUCGAAAGAUGACGUAUAAGGCCUGACACCUGCCCGGUGCCGGAAGGUUAAGAGGGGAUGUCAACCGCAAGGAGAAGCAUUGAAUCGAAGCCCCGGUAAACGGCGGCCGUAACUAUAACGGUCCUAAGGUAGCGAAAUUCCUUGUCGGGUAAGUUCCGACCUGCACGAAUGGUGUAACGAUCUGGGCACUGUCUCAGCCACGAGCUCGGUGAAAUUGUAGUUCCGGUGAAGAUGCCGGAUACCCGCGACGGGACGGAAAGACCCCGUGAACCUUUACUGCAGCUUCACAUUGAUUUUGGGUAAGUAAUGUGUAGGAUAGGUCGGAGACUGUGAUCCUGCUUCGCUAGGAGUAGGUUAGUCAUCCUUGAAAUACGACCCUUUGCUUAUUUGGAAUCUAAUCCUGAAAGGGAGACAGUGUGUGGUGGGUAGUUUGACUGGGGUGGUCGCCUCCAAAAGAGUAACGGAGGCUCCCAAAGGUGCCCUCAGCACGCUUGGUAACCGUGCGAAGAGUGUAAUGGCAAAAGGGCGCUUGACUGUGAGACAUACAAGUCGAUCAGGAAGGAAACUUGGGCAUAGUGAUCCGGUGGUUCCGAAUGGAAGGGCCAUCGCUCAAAGGAUAAAAGGUACUCCGGGGAUAACAGGCUGAUC